GGAUCACAUGUUUUUAACUGAGCCGUAGACUUUAAGUGCUCAGUUUAAUGAUCGAAAGCACAAAGUGAACUACGAGCCAGGUGGUCCUGCAGGCAGGUGUGUUACAGGUGGGGCUCAGGCCAACACUUCUGUUAUUCUAUGGUGCAAGCCCUGUGGUUGGUCUGCUCAACGGCAUUGUAUUUCCUGCAUUUACAACACUUCUGAAAUCGGCCAUACAUCGGCCAUACAUCUGUCAACGCAGCAGUAUAAACCAGGCUUUAUGCAUGGCUGAAUUCUACAGUAUGCCGUGUGGGUAAUGAACACUGGACAAUCUGUACUAUAUUCUCCAGGAACGAUUGUUAUGUUGUUAUGUUAAGUACUGUUUAUUUUAAGAUAAAUAUAAAACAACUUACUCUUUA